rnacentral:rRNA from 1 species
UGGGGAAUCUUGCACAAUGGAGGAAACUCUGAUGCAGCGACGCCGCGUGAGCGAAGAAGCCUUUCGGGGUGUAAAGCUCUUACGCCAGGGACGAUAAUGACGGUACCUGGAGAAGCAGCUGCGGCUAACUACGUGCCAGCAGCCGCGGUAAUACGUAGGCAGCAAGCGUUGUUCGGAAUUACUGGGCGUAAAGGGUGCGUAGGCGGCGCUCUAAGUUUGGUGUGAAAUCUCCCGGCUUAACUGGGAGGGUGCACUGAAAACUGGGGCGCUCGAGUAUGGGAGAGGAAAGCGGAAUUCCUGGUGUAGCGGUGAAAUGCGUAGAGAUCAGGAGGAACACCUGCGGUGCAGACGGCUGUCUGGACCAUCACUGACGCUGAGGCACGAAAGCGUGGGGAGCAAACA